UACGGAGGGUGCGAGCGUUGUUCGGAAUCACUGGGCGUAAAGGGCGUGUAGGCGGUCCGCUAAGUCUGAUGUGAAAGCCCGGGGCUCACCCCCGGAAGUGCAUUGGAAACUGGCGGACUCGAGUCCCGGAGAGGAGAGUGGAAUUCCUGGUGUAGCGGUGAAAUGCGUAGAUAUCAGGAGGAACAUCAGUGGCGAAAGCGGCUUCCUGGACCAGUACCGACGUUCAGGCACGAAAGCGUGGGGAGCAAACAGG
rnacentral:rRNA from 1 species